AGAUGUGAGGGCGAUCUGGCUGCGAUAUCUGUCAACCCAUUGAUGGCCAGGGUUGAUUAGGCUGAUCUGGCUGGCUAGGCGGGUGUCCCCUUCCUCCCUCACCGCUCCAUGUGUGUCCCUCCCUAAGCUGUGCGCUCAGUCAAAGAGGGAUGGCCUUCCCGGAAUAGAGACAGACCGCUCUUUGGUCAAGGGUAUAGGAGUAGCUGAGCUCCCCUAUAGAACUUCCAAACAAGCUCUCAAGAAUAGGGAAGCUUCCAAUGGAGGGGAGGGAAUAUGGAACCCUGGUGGUGGGAAUUGUACCCUUCUUAUCCCA
rnacentral:snRNA from 1 species